rnacentral:lncRNA from 1 species
CUGGGUAAGAAGACUGACUGAUGUAGCAAAAGGUUGAUUGGACGUGGAACCGAUGGAUGAGCAUGAGACAUGGUGAUGAGCUACUGUUGUGGCCGGCCGUUGUCUUGUUUAUGAUGGUUGGUGGUCAGCUGACUCAUACUGUCUUAUGCCAGUACCCAUGUUGGUGUCAUGUCUAGGAAAUGCAGCGUCAUAAUGCUGACCAUGACUUGGAAUUCCGUUUCUUCUGUUCAAUGAGUUAGGUCUUAUUGGCCGUGUAAUGUUGCUUCUGAAUUCAGUGGUAGUAGAGGCCUAGAGGCCGGAGGCCGAUGAUCAGGCGUAUUGGCUUUGGGUUGAGGCUGCUGGAUUAAGAGCCUUCUUUUGUAGUUCUAAGCGCUGUUUUGGAGCUGUCAUGGUUGGAUGUAAUGCUGUGUUUGUUGGAGUUUGUUUUGGUUUCAGUCUUCUAGUGUUGAACUUAAGUUCAUUUUGGAUGAUGAAAACUCUUCUUAUUUGGGCAUAAAUUAAAGCAUGAACUUGUACAAAACGUUGCAUCCCCAUCCCAACGACUCACGAAGGAUAAAACAGGCUGCUAGGCGAAACAGUUCCACCUACCGCCGGUGCGACGCGGGCUCCUACUGCUCUAGCCACAUCUUCAAGACAGUACACAAGCGGUCUGUCAGAGAGCUGUAGGCCCGCAGACUCGUAGCAUUCAUCAAGCGAGUUGUGAUUCUCGGAUUGCUUUGCCAAAGUUUGCUCCAAUUAUCAUUCCUCUACUUCCUCUACACGACUGAACCGCAGCAAUAUCUAUCCUGAUACCUCUCAAGCCCCAACGUACUUGUUUCUUCCUCCAUGACCUAUCCUUGUUGUAUUACGAAACUCAUCGGGCUCGAAUCUGAAAAUGUGUAUGCAUUUCUUGGCUUGUGCAUUUAUACAUGUGAAUGGUUGGAGCAAAUCGCACCUAUAUUCGAUUAUCCCGAGACGAUCAUGAUAAGUAAUGAAUUCAAUGCUUGGUUGGUCUUAUAUGCUACUGCAUAUUUAAUAUCAAGUGCUACACUGGUACUCAUGCAUACAUCCAUAACCUAUUUAUACAUCAUCUGACAUUGUUGUCAGGUUACAACAAAUGCAUAUUCAACGACUUAAUUACACAUCUAUCUGACAUUAUUGUAAGAUAUCCGUAUUGAAAUCCUGAGCAAUCGGCCUUAUCUCCCCCUUCUGAAUAAAACUAUAUAAAUGACAUGGAGCACACAUUAAUUUACAUAAUGAAGGAUGCCAAUACAUCCUAGAGGAGCCACUGCUUACCUCAACAGUCUAUGUCAAUCACAUAUGCAUUCACCAAUAGUCAACUAUCACUAGUGCAGAACCGGGCAAUAGCACCGGUUCGUAAGGCCCUUUAGUGCCGGUUUGGUAACUGACGCUAAAAUGUAGGCACUAAAGCCCCCCCUAGUACCGGUUCAGCACGAACCGGUGCUAAAGGGCAACCACGUGGCACGAGCCAGCUUCGGGGGCAGGGAGCCCACGUGACACCAACCGGUAUUAAAAUGUUGAGGGGGUUGGGUUUAUGAUUUCUUUUUCAUUUAAUUUUGUGUUUUCCAUUUAAUUCUUUUUCGUUUGCUGGUAUUUUACGAUACUACAUAUUGUACACGUUAUGCAUAUAUAUAAAUAAAAUUUAUAGUAGAAUCGAUCAUAAUAUAUAUAUAUAUAUAGGGUCGCGCUAUUCUGCACCCUGGUUGAGGAAUAGUUAUUCUUCACCCCCUUCUAUUUUACCAUCAAUGCACCGUAAUUUUACAUUCCGUAAGUUUUGUCUUAUUUCCGACGUAAAAAGAGACUGUAAGAAAAUAUAUAAUCGCCGUAAAAAAUAUUUUAUGUUAUGUAAAAUUACAAACGUAAAAAUAUAGUCUAAAAUAUACAUAAACUACAAAUUUUCUUGUCUUAUGACCUAUAUUUUUAUUUUCUUAUGUCAAAUUUUACGUAGUGAAUCAAUAGGAAUGUAACUAUUUGAAUUCUAAACGUAAUUUAAUUAUGAAAUGAUCAUAAGAUUACCUCGGGUGAAGAAUAACUUAUUCUGCACCCUGGAUGAUGAAUAGUGACACUAUAUAUAUAUAUCAUCGAAUGUCUCAUAACCANNNNNNNNNNNNNNNNNNNNNNNNNNNNNNNNNNNNNNNNNNNNNNNNNNNNNNNNNNNNNNNNNNNNNNNNNNNNNNNNNNNNNNNNNNNNNNNNNNNNNNNNNNNNNNNNNNNNNNNNNNNNNNNNNNNNNNNNNNNNNNNNNNNNNNNNNNNNNNNNNNNNNNNNNNNNNNNNNNNNNNNNNNNNNNNNNNNNNNNNNNNNNNNNNNNNNNNNNNNNNNNNNNNNNNNNNNNNNNNNNNNNNNNNUACAAUUUCUCCUAAUUGGUGCCUUCGGAGCACGAUAACAAUUGGAAGUGGUUCAUGAAGGCGGUAGCGGGUAAUAGUAUUCUCCUUUGGGAUCUAUGACCUGGUCGAGCAAAAAUCCCGCUAUUUUCUCUUGAAUUGCUUCUAUGCGGUCCUGUGCUAGGAGCUUGUCCCGCACCUCUUUGAACUGUUAAGAAGGAGAUCAAUAUACAUGUGUAUUAGUUGUGUGACUAGAUAUCGAUAAUGGUGUAAAAAUUGUGAAUAGUGUUUUGACAAUCGAUAUCGUACUCACUCCGGUCUUUGAGAUUUGCUUCUUUCGGACGCCAUCAUGUGAAUAUUCUCGCAAACGUAGUAUGCACAUAGAUCAUUCCCCGACGCCUGCUUUAGGGCCUUUACGAGAAUGAAAUUUGAUCAGAUAAUAAUUAAUCAAGCAUGAUAAUUAAAGAGAUGACAGCUAGCUAGUACUACUUAAUUACUUACCUUGGGUCGAUACCAUUUCAGACUUUGUUUCCAUGGGCCUGGAGUGACCUUGAUGAACUUUGCCCAAGCCCUGCCCGCCAACAAAGAAAAUGAAUAAAUAGAUUAUUAAAUAGUUGUUAUCAGGAAAUGACGAACUAAUUAAAUAGGCCGAGAUAUAGUUAAUAAUGAUUGAAAUUACCUGUUGACUAUCCCCUUCAUGAUGAUGUAGUCACUUUCUUAAGUAGCGAAUCUAGUACUUCAACUGUUCUUCAUCAACUUUAAUGAUUAACAAGAUCCAGUGAAAUCUGCAUGCACACACGUUUGCAUGUCUUAAUUAAGCGGGCAUAUGUAAGCAAAAACAUGUAGCUAUAGCUAGUAGGGAAAAACAGAAUUUGUAGUACAAGACAGUGUGACUCACUGAAAGUUGCAAGGAAGUAGUAUAUCUUCAUUGUAUUUGAGUUCCUUGAAGAACUGUAGCAUGCUUUCCUCUACACAUUUUGCAUGAUAUGGAUAUAUUUUCCAUGUGUAUUCAUUAAUGGUAUUUGGGUCAAAGAACCCAAUGCCAUAGCGUCUACCUUUUUUCAUUUCAUAAAUCUUCAUCCUGCAUAAUACCACAAAAAAGAAUAUAGUAAGGAUAAUUACAGGUAAUGAUUGAUCAAAAUGAUCAGCUAGCUUGAGACUUAAAUUACAGAAAGAAAUCACUUACAGACAAUAGCAACUGACGAUAGAUUUGUCGAGUGCAUCUUUGUUGUAUAGCUGAAAAAGUUCUGAAUACUCAACGGUCACAGCUUUCUUAUGGUAGUAAUGCUCCUCGUUGACAUUCACCAUGAGGGACUCUCGAUUGGAAAUCUUGGUAAUGUCCAUGUAUCAUUGAUGCAAUUCAUACAUUCUCGUUGGGAGCUUAUUGACCUCCUCUGGCUCGACCAAAGGUUGGCCCCGGGCAUAUUUCCGUUUUAUUUCCUCCUCUCUAGUCGGAGACAUGGGCUCGAUAUCGAGGAGUUGUCCAACAGUGAUCCCGAUCGAUUCAGCCUGCGCAAUAUGCUCCUCGGUUAUUAGCACAUCGCCCAUCCCGGGAACAUUAACGGUUUGCCCACAAUAAUAUUGGGCGCGCCUACUCUCAUGUGUUGUUGCACAACAAGCGGGGGGAUUGAUUGCGCCAUCUGUUCUCCCAGCUGGGGAAUGGUUUUACCGCUCCUUUUGCUAGCUGAUUUGCUCGAGCUCGAGCUCGCCUCUUUCUGUAGACGUGCUCGAUUUAACUUCCUGAGGUGGCGCUCAUAGUCUGUGUCAACAGGCUUGGGAGCUGGUGGUCUAGCCAUACGAAUGAAGUGGUCUAUCUUUUCCACAGGCACUUUCUCCCUUGGCGGCAGUGGCGGUUUCGGUGCAAAAUGGGCUUCCACCUCGGCCUUCGAUAUGGCUACGUUUUCCUCCUCGGACUUGUCGUAAGGCCUCUGCGGAAGAGGCGCGAGGCUUGGACCGCGAGGCUUGGACCAUAUUGAAAUCGCUUGCCUCCGCCUGUACCUGCAGUACUACCUCGACUUGUACCGCUACGCACCAUAGUUGAGGCGGCUCUCUUCCAUGAUUGCUGAGGCGGCGAAGAUGGCUGGCGUGGCUGAGUUGGAGGAGGAGUGGCCUGAAGCUGUGCCGGACUUGGAGGAGGAGUGGCCUGAAGCUGUGCCGGACUUGGAGGAGGAGUGGCCUGACGCUUUGCCGGACUUGGAGGAGGAGUGGCCUGAAACUGUGCCGGACUUGGAGGAGGAAUGGUCUGACGUAUUGGUGGACUUGGAGGAGCGGGAGUCUGCUGACUCGGUGGCAGACUGCGACGAGGAGUCGGAUGACGCAGUGUCGGUGGCCUUCGAAAGAUGAUGCAAUCCUUUCUCCAUAGGAUGAUACGAUGGUUGGCCUCUCCUAGUGUGUGCUCAUCGUCACCUCCAGGAAUGUCAAGCUCUAGCCCCGAAUAUUGGUCCACCACCUCAUCAACCAAGACACGAGCAUAGCCCGCUGGAAUCGGGUUGCAAUGGAAGGUUGCCUCGGGGGGAUUUGUAAAAGCAAGGGCGUCCGCCACCUUCAUGGAUAUGUUCUUCAUUUUGAAGUGUAGCUCGCUGUUAGUUUCUCCAUGAUGUCAUCCACUGGGUAGCUAUCCAGCAAUGCGUCGCCCGGGGCGGAACCCACGCUGCUUCUCGGCAUGGAUGGGACGGUGCUAUCCAUUGGUGGAUCAUUCGCUAGCUGCUGAGACCCCCUUUGCUGGCUAAGUGAGUCGAUCUGCUCCUGCUGCCGCUGGAAUUUGAUUGCCAAGUCCGCGUGCGUUGAUUCUAGGCCUUGAAGGCGUUCAUAGUCUAGCUUCCUCUGCUCCUCCUCCAUCUUCCUCUUCUUCUCCUCCACAAUCUUCUUUCUCGCACGGGUUCUGUAGUCGGCGUUCCAGUCCGAAAACCCCUCAUACCACGGAAUAGCGCCCAUGCCUCGUGUUCUUCCCGGGUGUUCAGGAUUUCCCAGGGCACGCGUAAGCUCGUCGUUCUCUCUGUUGGGCUCGAACAACCCGGAUCGAGCCUCUUCUAUUGCAACAAGUAGCUUAUCUUCGGCUCCGUCCAGACAUGCCUUCUUCGAAACUUUGCCUGUCUUCGGGUCCAAGUCCCCCCAUGCGCAUAGAACCAAGUCCUGCACUUGGGGGGCCAGCUCAAUGUUUCUGGAGUGACACCUGCAUCUAGCAUCUCUUUCUCAGACUUAUCCCACUUAGACAUUCCCACCGCAUAGCCACCUGGCCCCAGCUUAUGGAACUUAUCCUUUUUUGCGGCAUUGGCCUUGUUUAUUCUCGACCGUUCCUUAGAUAAUUCCGAAUCCUUGAAUUUCACGAAAUCGUCCCAAUGAGCACUUUGGUUCUCUAGUGUUCCCUCGAAUACUGGAGUCUUCCUUCCUCCGUUGACGUACUUGGCCCAUUCACGAAUCUUGUGGUUCUUGAAUGCAACCGCCAUCUUCCUAAGAGCAGCGUCCUUGACUUUCUCCACAUCUGCAUCUGUGAAAUGAUCUGGUAGGGUGAAAUGUUCCAUGAGCGUUUCCCAAAGCAAAUGUUUUUGUCUGUCGUUGACAAAAGUAACUCCUGGACGUGGCUUUGCUGGCUCUCUCCAUUCUUGAAGGAAGAUCGGGAGUUGGUCCUUCACAAGAACUCCGCACUGACGAACGAACUUGUCGCAAUCUUCUUAGGCGCGAAUGGUUCGCCAUUAGGUCUGAUUGCCUCGAUAUUGUACUUUACGCCCUCCUUCAACUUUUUGUUCGGGCCUCGUUUCGUCCUGUUGCCUGAAGAUUUGCUCGAUCUGGAUGGCUGAAAGAAGAAAGAUCGAUUCGUUAAUAUAUCUUCAAGUAAUUUAAAACAUGUGAUGAUCACCAGAUGCCUGCUUAUAUAAAUAUAUAUACCUCACCGGUCUUUGUUGUUUCAAGAUCAACAUUUUCUUCGUCAUGUUCAUAGCUCAUGACUUCAUCAAUUCGGUCGUCGCGAUCGAAUAUCAUAUCACCCUCUCCGGUGUUGUUUAGAUAUUCGGAGCCGUCAUAAUCUUCUUCAUUCUGAUCAUCAUCUGGCCCGCGAGGAUUGCGUAUGAUAUUGAAUAGGGCCUCUUCUCCCUCUCUGUCGGUAUUGUUCGCCAUAGGUUUUGUUUAACUAAUCCAAAAGAAAUAUAUUCAAAUUACAAUGCAUGGAUGCAAUCAAUUAAUAAGGAAAAACUGAAUCAAUCAUAGUACAUAAUAAGCAUCAUCAAAUAUAAUCUCGAAUACGUUGUCUCGAAUAAUAGAUAUAAUCUCGAAUACAUCGUCUCGAAUAAAUAGAUAUAAUCUCGAAUACAUCGUCUCGAAUAAUAGAUAUAAUCUUGAAUACAUCGUCCGAUCAUGCGGCGCGGGCGGUGGACAACCAAAGAGAAGGAACCCUCACAGGAUCAUAGCUGAAGUGAGAUCCCUGAAGAAACUGCCAGGUAUUGGAGAACCUGCCGCCCUCUAAUGCAAUCAUGUAGCGAUGGCCGGCUCCCUCCGCACCAAAACUGGCCCACGCGGACGCCACCAAAUGAGACCAGGGUCGACGACCGGGGCCUGGUUCCUCAUCAAGCGGCGCGCCCCUCCAGGCAGCACCUCCCAGUGCCAGCCUGGCGGAGCCCAGUCCCGGACAUGGGUCAGCCGGACGUCGUCGCGGACGGGUCGACGGCGAGGAUGCGGGCCGGGCAUCAUCGAGAACAAAUACUAGCUAUAUGCCAACAAAAAGUAACAUUUUUUUAAUGAUUGGAUUUUGAUAACUAAAAUUUCUAACAUUUCUAUAUAACUAACAUUCCUAUAACAUUUCUAACAAUGCUAUAUAACUAACAUUUCUAUAACAUUUCUAAUACUUCUAUAACUAAAAAACAGAAAAAAAAAGUUAUAACAUUUCUAUAUAUAUAACUAACAUUUGUAUAACAUUUCUAAUAUUUCUACAACUAAAAAAAAGAAAAAUUUCUAACUUUUUUAUAACUAUUUCUAUAACUAAAAAACAGAAAAAUUCCUAACAAUCCUAACUUNNNNNNNNNNNNNNCUAUAUGCCCGCAAAAAGUAACAUUUUUUUAAUGAUUGGAUUUUGAUAACUAAAAUUUCUAACAUUUCUAUAUAACUAACAUUCCUAUAACAUUUCUAACAAUGCUAUAUAACUAACAUUUCUAUAACAUUUCUAAUAUUUCUAUAACUAAAAAACAGAAGAAAAAAAAUUAUAACAUUUCUAUAUAUAUAUAACUAACAUUUGUAUAACAUUUCUAAUAUUUCUAUAACUAAAAAAAGAAAAAUUUCUAACUUUUUUAUAACUAUUUCUAUAACUAAAAAACAGAAAAAAAAAUUCUAACAAUUCUAACUUUUCUAUAACAUUUCUAACAAUGCUAUAUAACUAACUAUUUCUAUAACUAAAAAAGAAAAAUUUCUAACAUUUUUAUAACUAUUUCUAUAACUAAAAAACUAAAAAAAUGUAUGUGUGUGUGUGUGCUCACCGGCGAUGCGAGAGGCGACGGGGGGCGACGACGGGGACGGCGACGGGCGCGGCGACGACGGGGAUGGCGAUGACGGGGACAGGGACGGGGCGACGACGACGGGGAUGGGCCGAGGCGGCGACGACUGGAACGGGGCGGCGAUGACGGGGACNNNNNNNNNNNNNNNNNNNNNNNNNNNNNNNNNNNNNNNNNNNNNNNNNNNNNNNNNNNNNNNNNNNNNNNNNNNNNNNNNNNNNNNNNNNNNNNNNNNNNNNNNNNNNNNNNNNNNNNNNNNNNNNNNNNNNNNNNNNNNNNNNNNNNNNNNNNNNNNNNNNNNNNNNNNNNNNNNNNNNNNNNNNNNNNNNNNNNNNNNNNNNNNNNNNNNNNNNNNNNNNNNNNNNNNNNNNNNNNNNNNNNNNNNNNNNNNNNNNNNNNNNNNNNNNNNNNNNNNNNNNNNNNNNNNNNNNNNNNNNNNNNNNNNNNNNNNNNNNNNNNNNNNNNNNNNNNNNNNNNNNNGGAGAAGAAGCAGAUGAGAAACUGAAAUUUUUGAAGUGUUUAGUUAUAUAGGAUGGACCUUUAGUACCGGUUGGAGUCACCAACCGGUACUAAAGGCCUGUUUUGGCCAGGCCAAGCGGCGGGAACCGCACACCCUUUAGUACCGGGUGGUGGCUCCAACCGGUACUAAAGGGGGAGCCUUUAGUACCGGAAAGGGGGAGCCUUUAGUACCGGUUGGAGCCACCACCCGGUACUAAAGGGGGUGCGCUGGCAAGGUGCUGUGCGGCAAGUUUAGUCCCACCUCGCUAGCCGAGGGGCGUCCGCACUGGUUUAUAAACCCCCGUGCGGUAGCUCUCUCGAGCUCCUCUCCAAAGCAGGCCUACUGGGCCUACAUGUUCUGUGCUGCCUUGUGGGCCUACUAGGCCUUUGCGGGCCUGCAUCCUGGCCCAACAACAGGUUGGGUUUCUAGUUGUAUGCAGGCCGCUCUGGCCCAGUAGGCGGGCUUUUUUUUUGCUUUAUUUAUUCUUUAGUUGUUUUUUUGUGUAUUUAGAGUUACUUUGUGAAUAUUUUUGCUUUAGGUACAAAAAAUUACAAACUUUCUGUUAGUGCCCGUAAUUUUCAAAUUUGAAUAGUUUAAAUUUUGAAUUAUUUGAAAUUAGUGUGAAUCACUAGUUUGUGAAUAACUUAACUUUAAAAAUCAGUAAAGGCAUGAAAGAAUUUGUUUGCAUAGAAAAUUUCUUCGCGUUUCAAAUGCCAAAACACAUAACUACCCUAACUAUUACAGAGAUUCCCUCCUGGGUGUGAAACACAGAAGAAAGUGAUGAUAGUGAAGCCGAACACAUCCCAGAUCUUUGGGUGUGAAACUUUUUCUUCGCGUGUGUCCCUUUGCGCCGUAACCAUGGAAAAUCUUCAUCAUUUAACGAGAUGCUCGGGUCAAUAUUCACUGUGAAUGAAGCAAUUUCAUCAAACUUUUCAUAAUCUUCUGACAUGUCUGUCUUGUCAUCCACUCCCACGAUGUUUCUCUUCUCAGAAAGAACUAUGUGCCGCUUUGGCUCAUCGUACGAUGCAUUCGCUUCCUUAUCUUUUCUUUUUCUUGGCUUGGUAGACAUGUCCUUCACAUAGAAAACCUGUGCCACAUCAUUGCCUAGGACGAAUGGUUCGUCUGCAUACGCAAGAUUGUUGAGAUCCAUUGUUGUCAUUCCGUACUGCGGGUCUUCCGUUACCCCGCCUCGUGUCAUAUUGACCCAUUUGCACCGAAACAAAGGGACCUUCAAACCACGUCGAUAGUCAAGUUCCCAUAUGUCCUGUAUAUAACCAUAAUAUGUUUCCUUUCCUGUCUUGGUUUCUGCAUCAAAGAGGACACCACUGUUUUGGUUGGUGCUCUUCUUAUCUUGGGCGAUCGUGUAAAAUGUAUUACCAUUUAUCUCGUACCCUUUGAAAGUCAUUAUAUUCAAAGAUGGUAACUGGGACAUCAAGUACAUGUCAUCUUCAAUAGAGGUGUCAUGCAUGGUACGUGUCUGCAACCAGCUGGCGAAACUCCUGGUUUGUUCACGUGUAAUCUAGUCAUCAGACCGCUCCGGGUGUUUGGAGCGUAGCAAAUUCUUGUGUUCAUCCAUAUACGGAGCCACCAAGGCGGAAUUCUGUAGAACUGUGUAGUGUGCUUCAGUGAGAGAAUGUCCGUCCAUACAUAUUAUUUGUUCCUCUCCUAGCGUGCCUUUUCCAUCCAGUCUGCCCUUAUGUCGCGAUUCAGGAACACCAAUCGGCUUAAGGUCAGGAAUAAAGUCAAUACAAAACUCAAUGACCUCCUCAUUUUCAUGGCCCUUGGAGAUGCUUCCUUCUGGCCUAGCAAGGUUAUGAACAUAUUUCUUUAAGACUCCCAUGAACCUCUCAAAGGGGAACAUAUUGUGUAUAAAUACAGGACCCAAAACGUUAAUCUCUUCACAUAGGUGAACUAGGACGUGCGUCAUGAUGUUGAAGAAGGAUGGUGGGAACACCAACUCGAAACUGACAAGACAUUGCACCAAAUCAUUCUCUAACCUUGGUAUGAUUUCUGGAUCGAUUACCUUCUGAGAGAUUGCAUUGAGAAAUGCACAUAGCUUCACAAUGGCUAAUCGAACGUUUUUCGGUAGAAGCCCCCUCAAUGCAACCGGAAGCAGUUGCGUCAUAAUCACAUGGCAGUCAUGAGACUUUAGGUUCUGGAACUUUAUCUCUGCCAUGUUUAUUAUUCCCUUUAUAUUCGACGAGAAGCCGGACGAUACCUUAAUACUAAGCAGGCAUUCAAAGAAGAUUUCCUUCUCUUCUUUGGUAAGAGCGUAGCUUGCAUGACCCUGAUGUAUGCCGUAUUUUUCGUGCAUACGUUGCUGGUCCUCCCAUGCCUCAGGUGUAUCUUUUGUCUUCCCAUACACGCCCAAUAAGCCAAGCAGGAUCACACAAAGAUUCUUCGUCACGUGCAUCACGUCGAUUGCGGAGUGGACCUCUAGGUCUUUCCAAUAGGGCAGGUCCCAAAAUAUAGAUUUCUUCUUCCACAUGGGUGCGCGUCCCUCAGCGUCAUUCGGAACAGGUUGUCCACCAGGACCCUUUCCAAAGACCACCUUCAAAUCCUUGACCAUAUCAUGUACAUCAGCACCAGUACGGUGGCGAGGCUUCGUCCGGUGAUCCACCUCACCUUUGAAAUGCUUGCCUUUCUUUCUUACGGGAUGCCUGCUCAGAAGAAAUCGAUGAUGUCCCAGGUACACAUUCUUAUUACAAUUAGCCAAAUAUAUACUAUCGGUAUCGUCCAAACAGUGCGUGCAUGCGUGGUAUCCCUUGUUUGUCUGUCCUGAAAGGUUACUGAGAGCAGGCCAAUCAUUGAUGGUCACGAACAACAACGCCUUUAGGUCAAAUUCUUCCCCCAUGUGCUCAUCCCACGCACGUACACCUGUUCCAUUCCACAGUUGUAAGAGUUCUUCAACUAAUGGCCUUAGGUACACAUCAAUGUCAUUGCCGGGUUGCUUAGGGCCUUGGAUGAGCACUGGCAUCAUAAUGAACUUCCGCUUCAUGCACAACCAAGGAGGAAGGUUAUACAAACAUAGAGUCACAGGCCAGGUGCUAUGGUUGCUGCUCUGCUCCCCAAAAGGAUUAAUGCCAUCUGCGCUUAGACCAAACCAUAUGUUCCUUGCGUCAUCUGCAAAUUCCUUCUCAUACUUUCUUUCGAUUUUUCUCCACUGCGACCCGUCAGCGGGUACUCUCAACUUUCCAUCUUUCUUACGGUCUUCUCUGUGCCAUCGCAUCGCCUUGGCAUGCUCUUUGUUUUGGAACAAACGUUUCAACCGUGGUAUUAUAGGAGCAUACCACAUCACCUUGGCAGGAAUCUUCUUCCUGGGGCGCCGGCCCUCGACAUCACCAGGGUCAUCGCGGCAGAUCUUAUAGCGCAAUGCACCACAUACCGGGCAAGCGUUCAAAUCUUCGUACUCACCGCGGUAGAGGAUGCAAUUAUUAGGGCAUGCAUGUAUCUUCUGCACCUCUAACCCUAGAGGGCAGACAACCUUCUUUGCUUCGUACGUACUCUUGGGCAAUUCGUUGUCCUUUGGAAGCAUAUCCUUUAUCAUUACCAGCAACUUUCCAAAUCCCUUGUCAGAUACACCAUUCUCUGCCUUCCAUUGCAGCAAUUCCAGUGUGGUGCCCAGCUUUUUCUUGUCACCUACACAAUUCGGGUACAACAAUUUUUUGUGAUCCUCUAACAUGCGCUGCAACUUCUUCUUCUCCAAAUCACUUGCGCAGUUUCUCUUUGCAUCGGCAAUGGCCCGACCUAGAUCAUCAACGGGCUCAUCUGAUGCCUCUUAUUCAGCUUCUUCCCGCAUUGCCGGUUCAGCUUCUUCCUGCAUUACCGGCUCAGCUUCUUCCCUCAUUGUUGUAUCAUCGUAUUCAGGGAACCCAUGGCCAGGAUGGCUGUCGUCGUCCUCUUCUUCUUCAUUGUCUUCCAUCAUAACCCCUCUUUCUCCAUGCUUGGUCCAAAUAUUAUAGUGGGGCAUGAAACCGGACUCAAACAGGUGGACGUGAAUGGUUCUUGACGUAGAGUAAUUGCGACCAUUCUUACAGCCAGCACAUGGACAAUGCAUAAAACCAUCCGCUCGCUUAUUUGCCUCAGGAGCAAGCAGAAAAGUAUGCACGCCAUUAAUGAACUCGGGAGAGCAUCGGUCAUCAUACAUCCAUUGCCGGCUCAUCUUCAAUACACAACACCGAAAACAUCAAAUUAAUACAAUACAUAAAUUCAUACAUAAAGAGCAUACAACACUUCAAUGCAACAAACAAAUAACUCUCUAGCUAAAGAAUUUAAAUGCAACAACAAAUGCGAUCAAGAUCGCAACUAAGGUAACAAUUGAUCCAACAGCAUAAUGAUACCAAGCCUCACUAUGAAUGGCAUAUUUUCUAUUUCUAAUCUUCAAGCGCAUUUUCUCCAUCUUAAUCUUGUGAUCAUCGACGACAUCGGCAACAUGCAACUCCAAUUCCAUCUUCUCCCCCUUAAUUCUUUUCAAUUUUUCCUUCAAAUCCACGUUUUCUCUUUCAACUAAAUUUAACCUCUCGGCAAUAGGGUCGGUUGGAAUUUCGGGUUCAACUACCUCCUACAUACAAAUAUCUAUGUCAACUUGAUGGGCAUAAUUUGUCAUAAACACGAAAUGCAAUGAAUAGUUCUAAAAGAGAAUAUACCGCAUCCGAAUCAUAACCCGGACGAGGGCCGACGGGGACGGAUAUCAAAACCAUGGCACUAUGCAUAACAAACAACGUAUGGGUAAGAUAAUUAUACGAGUAACUAUAUAUCCAAAUCACACAAACAUCAUUUUUAUAUAAAACUUCAUGAACAAGAGGCUCACCACAAGGUGGUGCCGGCGACGGGACGUUGCGAGCGAUCGACGGUGGUUACGACGGAGAUUUAGAAGGUACUAAGUAAACUACACCUACAUAUGCAAAACUAAGUGUUAUUUUUGACCUCAAAUUGCAUAUAAAUCAAAUACUAGCACAUAUACAUAAUUCCUCCCAAAUUACUAAACUCAAAAAUCAAUCACUAUAUAAAGCAUUACACGAGCUAAUCUAGCAAUGAGAGAUGAAAGGAAAGAGUUGCUAACCUUUGUGAUCAUUUGAAUGGAUGGGGGCCUUCAAAUCUUGGGCAAAAUGUGUGAUGAGCUUGAGAGGAAGAGCGAAAAGAACAGAGAGGAGAGGGGAAAGGGGAAGAACAGAGCGAGCUCGAGUGGACGAAGGGUCUAUGUAGGACGACCUUUAGUACCGGUUCGUGAUACGACCCGGUACUAAAGGUGCUGGAGGGGCCCCGGAUUGACAACAUCCUGCCACCACUCACUUUAGUACCGGUUCGUGGCACGAACCGGUGCUAAAGGUUCGCCAUGAACCGGUACUAAUGAGAGCGGCACGGCUAGCCGUUGGAACCGGCACUAAUGUACACAUUAGUGCCGGCUCAAAUUCAAACCGGCACUAAUGUGCUUCACAUUUGACCCUUUUUCUACUAGUGUAUAUGUAAAUCAAUUGUCACCUUCAUCGUAAAAAAUAAUAAUCAAUUGUCACCCAUAUAUAGAUAAUCAUAUUUGGUUACUUAGUUUCCCGUGCAUAUCAAACAUCUAUGCUAGCUCAUAUAUUUAGGCUAAGGCAGACUCAGGGCAUGCUAGCAUGUCUUUUUUAUAAUCAAAGCACACAAGAAUCAACGGUGUCUUCAUCCACAUCCUAUUAUCGUCAUCGCCUUUGAAAAUACAUACAUGGUUAUAGGUAAUGCCACAUCUGCGAUAGAUGUAACCAAAGAAGUUGGAUAGCUUUGUAUGACUUAACUGUUAGAAAGGAGAGAGGGAUUGGUGGAAUAGUUUUUGUAUUGCUUGAGCCUCGUGGGCAUAUAUAUAGGAGUACAUGAUCUACUUGGAGUACAAGGCAAGCCAGAAUAUUUCCUAGUCUAACCUAUGUUUCCUAAUACAAUCACGUUACUCAACAUCCCCCCGCAGUCACAACGGUAGCGACACAGACAGUGAGACUUGAGAAGAAUCUGAAGGCAAGCCGACGGACACCCCCCCCACAGUCGUAACGGUCGACGCAUCGUGGAGUCAUGGCUAGAGUGGAAACCGACGAGGUUGCUCAAGUAGGCGUUAGCCCUUUGUGCCGUUUGUCGAUGUAGCCGAGAGCAUGGGUGGUGGAGCCGUGGUCGAGGUAGCCGUGCGAAGAAUGCCGUGGUCGAUGUCGAGUCGGGGUGGCCGGUGUCGAGGAAGUCGCCAUGGAGCCGCGGGCGCAAGGGGGCGCCGAGUUAGCAUGGGCGUAGUGGUAUCGAAGUAGUGAUGCGCCAGUAAGGAGAUGUUGUUGACGAUGCGUCGCGACAGGUUUGCCAAACCCGGGGACACAUCGUAGACGAAGGCACGCACUGGUGUUGCCAGCAUCGGGCAUGUGUAGACGGAUGAAGAUGAAGUUGACAAAGCGCCGCACCAGGCUUGCCAGGCCCGGGGACACGUCGUGGACGAAGGCACGCAUCGGUGUUGCCAGCACCGGGCAUGCAUAGACUGGGACCUGCACGAACUGUACGCCAUGUUGAAGAAGUCGGAGAGGCCGGCAGAGAAGGACUCGACGACGGUUGCGGCGCCAAUCGGCGUGAGGCCAAUGUCGCCCGCGGUUGUCGGAGUAGAUGAAGCGGUCAGGGUAGAUGCCGGCGAAGCUGGCGACGGGCUGGUGCUGGACGAAGACGAAGGGGGGUGGACGGGCGGCUGCGGCGGCUACGGGGGUACGGCGGCAGCGGCCGAAGAAGAGCGGCGGUGGUGGCUUGACAGUGGGGGCGAUGCUCAAAGUAGGCGAAGAACCCUGACAGCGUGACGAAGACCGGCGCGGACGGUGGCGUUCCCGCGCCAAGGAAGAUGGCGCGACGCAUACCAUGGGAGGUCGACGCGCGGUGACGACGGAGUGGACCGCGGGCCGCGGCGCUAUGGCCCGCGCGGCGGCGGCGGGCAGGUCAGGGCGACGGCGGAAGACCUCGGGGCUGUCGUAGGGACCGUGGGCCAUGACGCUAUAGCCCAAAGGGGCGACGCAGCGGCGGAACGCAGGUCGGUGCAACCGCGGGGACGGCCUCGGGACGGCGUUGUGGACCGCGUGCCACGCUCGCUACGGCCCGACGAGGCGACGCAGCGGCGGCGCGAGGGUCGGUGCAGCCACAGGGACGGCUUGGAGCCUGGGCGGCGGCGGACCGCGGGCCGCGACGCUACGGCCCGAAGGGGCAACGCAGCGGUGACGCGGGUCAGUGCAGCCAGGAGAAGAACCACGGGGCGGCGGCGCUGCGGCCUGAUGGGGCGACGCAGCGGCAGCCCGUUGCUCGAUCAGUAGAGGGGCACGCUGAACUCGGGACAGUCUUCACUGGGCCUGCGGAGGCGCGCGCAGCCGACGGGCCAGGUUGAUCGCCUGGCGUAGAUGAGGCAGAUCGCGGCGGCGGGCGGGUGAUCAAUCCGAUCGCGCGCGAGGUCGGGGACGCCGCUCGGUGGAGACGGGGUGGCGGCGGAGUCCGAGAUGAAGCUGGCGACGGCGGGCAGCAGGGCGGCUAUGAUUGGCCGCCGCAUGGCGCGAGGCCGCCGGGUCAGGGUGAUGCAGGAGUCCCGGUCGGAGCAGGGCGGUGACGGCCGGCGCAGGGCGACACGCGGACCGCGGCUAGCCCUAAUGGGCCGCCUCGACGCGCGUGGCCGUUGUGUCGGACGAUAGGCCGGUGGGUCGCGCCGGAGUCGGAGUAGAGGCGCAUGGGGGUCAACGGCGGCGGUGGGCGAUGCAAACCGAUCAAGAUUAGAUCAGAAAACCAAAAAGAAAUCACCGAUGAAGAUGACCGGCGGGAGAGAGAAAACCCCAGAGCAAGGGCUCGGAGAAAAAAGACUCUCUAGGGCAGCCGGCCAACACGGCCGACGGACGAACCCUAGGUACGGGCGGCGCGGCUCCCGGCGGCGGUCAUGGAGGCCGACCGCCCCAGGGGCGGCACGCAAGAGAGGGAGCAGCGGCGGCUAGGGUUUAGGAUCGACUUGCGAUAGAUACCAUGUUAGAAAGGGGAGAUGGAUUGAUGGAAUAGUUUUUGUAUUGUUUGAGCCUUGUGGGCAUAUAUAUAUAGGAGUAUAUGAUCUACUUGAAGUACAAGGCAAGCCAGCAUAUUUCCUAGUCUAACCUAUAUUUCCUAAUACAAUCACGUUACUCAACAUUAACGCCUGGCUCAGGUCACCUGAAUCAGCUCUAGUAACUCAAGGCAAGAAACAAUACCCAUUUUUUCGUUUGAGGAAUCACCAGGGGGCAAGACGCCACACCUGGAUAUAUUUCUCGACAGGAGGCCGCUUCCGUAUUCUCAGUGGUGGUAGAGGCUGGAGGCCGACGAUCAGGUCGUAAGGCGUAUUCCCUUGGGUUGAGGUUGCUGGAAAAAGUGCCUCCUUUUGUAGUUCUAAACGCUGUUUUGCAGCUACCAUGGUUGGAUGUUGUGUAUGUCAAGAGUUUGUUUUGGUUUCAGUCCUGUAGUGUUGAACUUAAGUUCGUUUCGGAUGAUUGUUUGGGGGUGGCGGCGGAGUCCGAGAUGAAGCCGGCGACGGCGGGCGGCAGGGCGGCUAUGAUUGGCCGCCUCAUGGUGCGAGGCCGCCGGGUCAGGGUGAUGCAGGAGUUCCGGUCGGAGCAGGGCGGUGACGACCGGCGCAGGGCGACGCGCGGACCCCGGCUGGCCCUGACGGGCCGCCUCGGCGCACGUGGCCGCCGUGUCGGAGGAGAGGCCGGCGGGUCGCGCCGGAGUCGGAGUAGAGGCGCAUGGGGGUCGACGGCGGCGGUGGGCGACGCAAACCGAUCAAGAUUAGAUCGGAAAACCAAAAAGAAAUCGCCGAUGAAGAUGACCAGCGGGAGAGAGAAAACCCCGGAGCAAGGGCUCGGGGAAAAAAAGACUCUCUAGGGCAGCCGGCUAACACGGCCGACGGACGAACCCUAGGUACGGGCGGCGCGGCUCCCGGCGGCGGUCAUGGAGGCCGACCGUCCGAGGGGCGGCGCGCAAGAGCGGGAGCGGCGGCGGCUAGGGUUUAGGAUCGACUUGCGAUAGAUACCAUGUUAGAAAGGAGAGAGGGAUUGAUGGAAUAGUUUUUGUAUUGCUUGAACCUUGUGGGCAUAUAUAUAUAUAGAAGUAUAUGAUCUACUUGAAGUACAAGGCAAGCCAAAAUAUUUUCUAGUCUAACAUAUGUUUCCUAAUACAAUCACGUUACUCAACAUUAAUGCCUGGCUCGGGUCACCUGAAUCAGCUCUAGUAACUCAAGGCAAGAAACAAUACCCAUUUUUUCUUUUGAGGAAUCACCAGGGGGCAAGACGCCACACCUGGAUAUAUUUCUCGACAGGAGGCCGCUUCCGUAUUCUCAGUGGUGGUAGAGGCUGGAGGCCGACGAUCAGGUCGUCAGGCGUAUUCCCUUGGGUUGAGGUUGCUGGAAAAAGUGCCUCCUUUUGUAGUUCUAAACACUGUUUUGGAGCUACCAUGGUUGGAUGUUGUGUAUGUCAAGAGUUUGUUUUGGUUUCAGUCCUGUAGUGUUGAACUUAAGUUCAUUUCGGAUGAUUGUUUGGGGGUGGCGGCGGAGUCUGAGAUGAAGCCGGCGACGGCAGGCGGUAGGGCGGCUAUGAUUGGCCGCCUCAUGGCGCGAGGCCGCCGGGUUGGGGUGAUGCAGGAGUCCCGGUCGGAGCAGGGCGGUGACGACCGACGCAGGGCGACGCGCGGACCGCGGCUGGCCCUGACGGGCCGCCUCGGCGCGCGUGGCUGCCGUGUUGGAGGAGAGGCCGGCGGGUCACGCCGGAGUCGGAGUAGAGGCGCAUGGGGGUCGACGGUGGCGGUGGGCGACGCAAACCGAUCAAGAUUAGAUCGGAAAACCAAAAAGAAAUCGCCGAUGAAGAUGACCGGCGGGAGAGAGGAAACCCCGAAGCAAGGGCUCGGGGAAAAAAAGACUCUCUAGGGCAGCCGGCCAACACGGCCGAUGGAAGAACCCUAGGUACGGGCGGCGCGGCUCCCGGCGGCGGUCAUGGAGGCCGACCGCCUAGGGGCGGCGCGCAAGAGCGAGAGUGGCGGCGGCUAGGGUUUAGGAUCGACUUGCGAUAGAUACCAUGUUAGAAAAGAGAGAGAUUGAUGAAAUAGUUUUUGUAUUGCUUGAGCCUUGUGGGCAUAUAUAUAUAUAUAGGAGUACAUGAUCUACUUGAAGUACAAGAUAAACCAUAAUAUUUUCUAGUCUAACCUAUGUUUCCUAAUACAAUCACGUUACUUAAUAUUAACGCCUGACUCGGGUCACCUGAUCAGCUCUAGUAACUCAAGGCAAGAAACAAUACCCAUUUUUUCGUUUGAGGAAUCACCAGGGGGCAAGACGCCACACCUGGAUCAUGGUGGUAGAGGCUGGAGGCCGACGAUCAGGUCGUCAGGCGUAUUCCCUUGGGUUGAGGUUGCUGGAAAAAAUGCCUCCUUUUGUAGUUCUAAACGCUGUUUUGGAGCUACCAUGGUUGGAUGUUGUGUAUGUCAAGAGUUUGUUUUGGUUUCAGUCCUGUAGUGUUGAACUUAAGUUCGUUUUGGAUGAUUGGUUGCAGGAACAGGAUUCCAGUAUCGUGCCUGCUGGUUUUGCAUGGGUGCGUGAUGUGGCGUUUUAUCGGUUUCUUAUUUGAAAUCGGAGAGGAGAGCUCUUCAGUUUGAAAGAAAGAAAUGAGUGAUUCUUAUUUAUUGAGUCUUGCUUCGGUACCCCCCGGGCAAACAUAGUAUGGUCAUUUGAUUAUAAGGUAUACACAUCUCUGUAUGUGGCACGUACGAGCUAUAUACACAACCGAUCCGCCAGCCCGUCACACAAACUGACGCACACACCCUUCGUCUUGGGCCUGGUCCAUUUUUUGUUUCCUUUUUUAACCUUCAAAAAAUAGUUGUGUGAGGUAGGAUUCAAACUCCCAACCUCUUAGUUUACUUCGACAUGCUGUAACCAACUGGGACAACUAUCUUGCGGUGUCUAGUUUUUUUUUCUUUUGCGAAGGUGAUAGAGUUUUAUUUCACAAUCAUAGGGUUACAAUCGAGAGGCAAGAGUUCCUCCACGCACGGUGGUCCUCGAUCCAGCCAUAUAGUAGUGGCACGUUCCAUAUGACUGUACGUAGCCAGACGAUCUGCUACCCUAUUUUGCAUACGACUAAUUUUCAUAGGAAUAAACUCUCUAUCUACCAUAAGAUGACGAAUCUCAUUAACAAGAUGCCCAUAGGCUGAUCUCGUUAAACUAGUACUAGACAAGGCGGACAGGGCCGUCGAGGAGUCCGACUGUACGAUGAUCGGUUGCUCACAAUGCUGGAUCACGAUCGCCAUGCCUUGCAUUAGCGCGUGUAGUUCCGCCUCGAGUGCUUUGUUGCAAUUGAAGAUGUAUCGAUAAGCAGCAAAGACAACACUCCCGUCAUGCCUCUGUAGUAUCAUACCAGCUGCAGCUGACCCAUCCGCCUGAGAGAAAGACCCGUCGACUGACAAAGACACUUGGCCCGGCGGAGGCGGCGGCCAAGGAAGGGCCUGCGGCGCCGCCUUCGCGACCACACGUUCCUCCUGCACCAUUGGUAUUUUGCCCUUCAUGAUCUCGUCCGUCGGAAACCUCCUGGCAAGGUCCAGCGAUUGCAUGUAGCUCUGUAGAUACAACACCGUAGACGGAACUGGUGGCACAUCUGUCCCGUGCGUUAAGUCAUUCCGGAGCGACCAUAGCCGCCAAAGCAACAUGAUCACACAGUCCCUCAUGACGAUCACGGUGUCUAGUUACUUCUUUCAUUCUUUUUUUUGUUUGGCCCUUUUAUUCUUCAAUUUUAUCCCUUUUUUAUUUUUCUUCGUAGAACACAUUCUUGUCCCCGCGUUAACAAAAAUGAGUCGUGUGCGUGGCGUUAAACACAUACAGUUAACGUAAAAAAAAUUGAACGCAAAAGGUGAGUCGUGUUUCAAUAAAUGAUGAAGGAAAUGUCCGCAUGCACAAGAUGGAUCGAUGAUUCAUUCCGCGUUGUCUAUAUGCAUGCCAGUUCUCGUCGCAUGAGUCACCAUGUUAGUCCUAAAAAACUAAACUAAAGGCAAACAAAAAAUGAGUCAUGUUUCAAUGAACGAAUGAAACGUGCACGACUAGUCCGCGCUGAGGGAUGGAGCGAGGGAUCCGUGCGUCGUUUCAGUGACUAGCUACCUACGCUUUUUUCUUUUAAUAAUAAUCCAAAUAAAAAACUGCAUACACUCUUUUCUUUUUCAUUUGCUUAAAUUCAUAAAAAAAAUCUUAAAUUCAUGAACUUAUUUUUUGAGUUCGUUAUUUUUUUUUCAAAUGAAUGAAUGUUUUUAGUUUUGUAAACUUUUAUCAAUUUCGUGAACUUUUUUUGUCAAAUUCAUGAACUUUUUUCAAAUCGAUGAACUUUUUUUAAAUUUCAUGAACUUUUUUCAAAUUUAUGAACUUUUUUGUCAAAUUCAUGAACUUUUGGGUGAAAUUCAUGAACAUUUUUGUCAAAUCCAUGAACUGUUUUCAAUUUUGGGAACUUUUUUGUCACGUUCGUGUACUUUGUUCAAAUCUUUGAAUGUUUUUUAAACUUGUGAACUUUUCUUUUAUCUAUGAACAUUUUUAGUCGGCAACUCAGGCUGGCAAUCGGGUCAAGUUUGGUCGGGUCGACCUCUCCCACACUCAUGCCCGAAUCCCUUGUCGGGUCUGUCACCCGCCUAGGACCGUACCCAUGGGUGACCCAUGCCCGAACCCAUUGAGUAACCCGAUCAACUCGGGCACCCAUCGGGUCUGCCAUUCUAUUAUGUUUUCUUUUUACUCGUUCAAUGCAUGCCAUGGUUGACGUAUUUCCUCUUGACACCCCCUAGUCUCCUUUAUAUAGUAGAGCCCCACCUACUAGACGCUAGAACAAGCGAGGUGGUACUAAACAACCUGCUCCUGUGAUCAAUCAAUUCAGUGACAUGCACGCAAUAGACUUUUUUUUAGGGUAGCAAGCACUUUUUUUAGACUGUAUGUUGCAUGCCUUCAGCUUUUGGAGGUUCAAUAGGCUGAAAUAUUGCAUUGUUGCUACGUUAUUUAGGGUGAAAAUGGUGACCCAUAUCCUACCCAUUCGGGGCGGGUGCCCAUGAGCUCAGGCACCCAUGGGGCGGAUUGCCGGGUUGACCGUCAACCGUGUAACCAUGCUGCCCUAUUAUAUUGUCAAGAUUUCUGCCUCCUUCCGUGUAACCAGGCGAGAUGGGACUAAAACCAUGAACGACACAGUGUGCUGCCUACAGGUUUGAGUAAGCUAGAAGGCCAUGUUCGACGGAGAGUGUUCGAUGGAGGGUGUUCGAGUACCCCAGAAAGCUCCGUUUGAGAGCACGUUUUUUUGGAGAUCCGUCAAAUGACCCCAAUUUUUUUACAGGAUCUUAUAUGGCCAAUUAAAGGCACCAUGCCAAGUUGUUUUGGUUUUCGACAAAUCUGGAAUUUUCUCGGUAAAAAAAGUCUAAUAAUGGUCGGACCAGUCGCAACUUACAUAUAGUGUCGAAAAUAGUUCAAAUCUGACAUGAAUGCCUACUAUGGGCAUGUCCACCUUGCAAAAGUUGGCGUUAUUUGAAGGAUGUACAAACAUAGAUCCUGUUCAACAAAAGGGUGUUCGGAUAGACCAGAAAGCUCCGCCCGAGAGUACAUUGUUUUCUGACAUCCUUAAAAUGGCUACAAUUUUUUCCAUGGCCUUGUAUGAACAAUUAAAGGCAUCAUGCCAAGUUGUUUUGGUUUUCGAUAAAUUUUGCAUUUUUAUGGAGUUUUCUCAAUAAAAAGGCCGAUAAAUGGCCUGAUGUGUCGCAACUUGCAUAUGGUGUCAAAAAUUGUUCAAGGAUGCCUACCAUGGGCAUGCCCACAUGAUUGCAGAAGUUGGGGUUGUCUCAAAAAUGUUUAAAACUAGAUCAUCUUCGACGAAUGGUGUUCAAAUAGGCCAGAAGGGCCCUUUUGAAAGCACAUUGUUUUGACAUCCGUCAAAUGACCCCAAUUUUUACCACUAGUUUCUGUGACCAAUUCAAGGCAUCAUGCCAAUUUUUUCAGUUUUUUUGACAAUUCUUGUAGUUUCAUGAGUUUUCUCCGUGAAAAUGGUCUAUAAAUGACAGGACACGCCGCAACUCGCAUACGAUGUCAGAAUUCGUUCAAACGCCUCAUAUGUCCGUGUCAAGCCGCUGCAAGAAGUUGAGGCCAUUUAUCUAUAGUCCAAAAAAACCAACAGUUUAGAAAAGUGUGCUAGACAAGGCCAAACGGGUGCAUCCGUGAGUAUGUAGUUUUUCCUAUUUUGAAUACCUUUGUUAUUUGCAAUUUCCGUCAUUAUCAACCAACACGAACAUUUUCUUAUAUCCUAACCAUUUCUGAAAAAUUGUCAAUAAUUUUUUAAUUUCAAAUUGUGUAUGAAAAUUUUACAAGCUUGAGAAUUUUUCCAAAAGUGUUAACAAAAUACCAGCAAUAUAUGUUGAACACAUAUUGCAAACCACACACUUUAAAAAAAUGUGUCUACUUUUCUUAAACACAGACAUUUCUUAAAUUUGUGAACAAAAAAUAGAAAAACAAGCACAUUGUUAAAAGAUUGUAAACAACAUUUGAAAACAAGAACAUUUUUUGGUAUUCCAAACAAUAUUCAAAUUUUUGGAACAGGUCUAAAAAAUUCAAAAAUGAGAUAAAUGAAUUAAGGAGAAAAGAAAAGACAAACAAAAGCUUAGGCCUUGGCCCAACUAGGUGACCGCAUCAUUCUCAUCAGGCGCCUGUUUGGCCGACCCAAGUGUUCGCGGAUUUGAGAAAAGUUCAUCAAUUUGGGAAAAAAUAUUCAUGAUAAAAAAUUGUGGGCUUUAAAAGUAAAUUCGUUAAAACUGAAAAGAGCAGGUUUGAAAAUAAAGUUCACUAAUUUAAGAAAAUGUCCAAGAAUUUGAAAAGUUCAUAGAACUCAGAAAAAGUUCAUGAUUUAAAAAUAAUUUGCAAAUUUAAAAUAGAAAAUAAAUGGAAAAUAAAAAGGAAGAUAAAAUUAGAAAAGAAAAACAGACAAAAAUACAAAACAUGCUCGUAUUGGUUAUUGUUAUAUUUGAAAAAGAGAAAAAAAUGAUAAAUAGACACAACAGAAAUUAGUCUAGUUGGUUACCUCGCUUGUACUAAGUGUAUACGAAGAGGGGAAAAAUGUAAAAUGGGCCGGCCCAAGGCGAUACAUACACACGCCGCGCAUUGCGCUUCGUGCAGUCGACGUAAUUUAAAAAAAAAGACCAUCCUACCCUGUAUUAUGAAGUGGUACUUCCACACAAUUUUAAAAAUAGUUCAUAUCAUUAACCAAAAAAAUAUUAUAUUUCCAAAAAUGUCACACAUUGGUUAGUAUUAUAUUUGAGGAAGAAAAAAGAAGGUAACUAGACACAAGAAGGAAGUAGUCCAGUUGGUUAUUGCCCUUGUAGUAAGCAUAGAUGUGCCCAGUUUGAAUCUAAUGGGGUGCUCAUUUUUUGAAGGUUUUACAGAACAUGAAAAAAAGUGUAAAUUGGACCGGCGCGCCCUUUUGAAGGUUUUACAGAACAAGGAAAAAAUGUAAAAUGGGCUGGCCCAGGGCGGUACGUACAGGCCACAUAUCGCUUGGCGCAGGCAACGUACUUUUGAUAAAGACCAUCCUACGCUUUGUUGUGAAGAGGUAUAGAGAUCUUCGUCNNNNNNNNNNNNNNNNNNNNNNNNNNNNNNNNNNNNNNNNNNNNNNNNNNNNNNNNNNNNNNNNNNNNNNNNNNNNNNNNNNNNNNNNNNNNNNNNNNNNNNNNNNNNNNNNNNNNNNNNNNNNNNNNNNNNNNNNNNNNNNNNNNNNNNNNNNNNNNNNNNNNNNNNNNNNNNNNNNNNNNNNNNNNNNNNNNNNNNNNNNNNNNNNNNNNNNNNNNNNNNNNNNNNNNNNNNNNNNNNNNNNNNNNNNNNNNNNNNNNNNNNNNNNNNNNNNNNNNNNNNNNNNNNNNNNNNNNNNNNNNNNNNNNNNNNNNNNNNNNNNNNNNNNNNNNNNNNNNNNNNNNNNNNNAAGCAGAACUGUUCAAUUUUUGAACUGACACAACUUUCAGGCGAUCAUUGGUUGUUCAUACUUGCGGCUGCUUCCAACGGAUUCAUUGUUUGGCAGUUGUUCUUCCAUGGAAAUAGAUGCAUGACAUAAGCAAAUCUUGCAGCUGGCACUGAAUUCAUCCAACGUGUUGCUAUAAUUAAUUUAAUUAAGAUAUUGUUAAGUUAAAGAAUAAUAAGCAAGCACUAAAGGCUUGAUGCUGCUUUGGAAGAUAUAUGCAACAAGACUGAACUGUUCUUAAAGAAGACACAUGGUGAUUAUUGUGAACAAGAAUUUGAAUUGGACAAUGUGCUAAUACACGUGAUUCAGGCUGAGACAUUGGAUUAUUAAUCGCCUUCUUUUGACCAAGGAAAAUUAGAAAACAUAUUACAUGCUCCAAGUUGAGUCCGGUGGGAAUUUUAUGUCGGGAAAAUUCUGGCACAACACAAUUCGUCAUAAAAUUGAAGCGUUCUCAGAUUCACGCAAACGGGAUAUUCAAUUUCAUGCAAAUCAAGGACGAGAUGAGAGAUCACUAGCACGUUUCACACUCCGCAACAUAUUUCUGACGCAAUCAUGGUCAGUUUCUCCAUCAAUUCUCGGAGUUCCUACUGACACGAUUGGCACAGUUGAAACACCAGGAAGCACAGUGCAGGCUUCAUGGUGUGUUUAUCCCACUGAGCUGAUCAACAAGAAAAUUAGCAGAGGGGAAAUAUUUUAAUACCUCACGGGUCAAUUUACACGACCGUCAAUUGGGUGAAAACUCUUCUGAUUUGAUAAAUUGUUAGAUUACACGGCAAGUACAGUCCUAUACCAUGCCAUCGCAGACUACAUUAUUUGCUAAAGCACACUAACCUAUGAAACGACAAAAUAGGCUGCGAGGGAAAACAAUGAUAGAACAAUGCGACCUAUCACUGACACGCCAUAGACCCCACUUCUCUAAUCACAUCUUCAAGGCAGUACAAAAACAGUGUACCAGAGGGUCAUUGGACCACAGACAUGUAUAAUUCGCCAUUUGACUUGUAAUGCCCAAGUGGCUUCACAGAAACUUGCUAAAGUUAUUGAUCCACUGCCUCCUCUAUGCCAUUGCAUUACAUCAAUAGGUGUCUGCAUACCUCUCAAGCCUCAAGGUUCCCGAGCCCCCCCCCCCCUCUCCAUAUGCUAUAGUGCUGUCUUAUAAAACCCUGACUUACCUGAAUCCUCAAAACAUGUAUACAUGUCUUGGCUUGCAUAGUUAUACAUGUGAAUGGCCAAAACAAAUCACACCUACAGUAUAUUCAUUGACCGCGAGACUAUCACGAUCAUUAAUGAAUUAAAUGCUUGGUUGCACUUAUAUGCUAGAUCCAUAUUUAAUAUCAAGUUAUAUAGUAAUAAUACUGGUGUGUCCAUUUGAUUGAAAAUGAGCAAAAAUCCAGAUUCCGUGUAGAGGCACAUGCCCACGACUCAUUUACACAUUGGUCUAACAUUGUUGUCAUAUUGCAACACACACAUACUUCCAGGACUUUUUUUUAGAAAAGGAGGAUGACCCCCGGCCUCUGCAUCUGGGCGAUGCAUACGGCCACUUUAUUAAUUAUUCUCACAAGACCUUACAAAUUAAUACAAUAGUAAGACUAAAGCUGCCGUCUAAGCAACAAACUGUCGCUACACCUAUCCAGUUGAUGAAGGGGCGCAGAUAGCCUGGGCCUAAUACCAAACAGACAUCGCAGCCAAACCUAACAUCUAAGACCUGAUGUCCCAUCCAGGACGCCUGCUGGACAUACUUCCAGGACUUAAUUACACCUCGACCUAAUAUUGUUAUUAGAUAUUAAUAUUGAAAUCAUAAACAAUCAUCCUUAUCUCUCCGUUCUGAAUAAGACCAUAUUAAAUGACAUGGAUCACACAAGGAUGGCCAACUACUUAACUUGACAAUCUAUGUUAGUUCCAUAUGCAUUUGUUGCCAACUAUAGGUAAAUUAAUUCUCACCCACACAUAUAAAAUCUGAUUCAGUUCACCCGCAAAAAAAUAAAAUCGGAUUCAGUUACAUGAUUUCCCGUAUAUUCAAACAUUCAUGCUAGCUCAUAUAUUUAGGCCAAGGCAGAUGAACAAGAUAGUAGCAUGUUAUUAUAAUGAGAUCAUACAAGUAUCAACAAUGUCUAAAUCCACAUAUUAUUAUCGUCAUCAUCUCUGAAAUGCAAACAUGGGCUAGGGAUAAUGUUACGUCUGCAAUAAAUAUAACUACCAUCGGAAAUUAAGAUACAAAGAAGUUGGAUAACUUGUGUAUGAAUUAACCUUAGGCUCAAAUCACCUGAAUUAUGUCUAGUAACUCCAACACAAGAAGCAACCAGGAAGCAGAACCCAAUUACUAGCCUAUGAUUUGUUUCCAAUCAAGGGGCACUUCAAUCGCCCAAGACAACCAUUUAGUUAAAUACCACCUUUUUUCUAAGCUUGACUCUUGUUUUGGCUUUGAACUACUGCCAAAGUAGGCCACAACCUUUUCCGCAGCCAAUCAUUUUAACCAAUCAGGUCUUGAAAUUAAUAUUGGUUUCAUCUCAGCCCCCAAUACACGAAGCCGUUUUAACCAAAAGAACUUCUUGCCCAGUCAUGCGUCUCUGCCUUUUUAACCACAAAUAGUUUCUUCACAUGUGUUGACAAUUGCUCCCUAGAUUUGAGGCAUGGGCUACAGAAAUUUACACGAAGAAUAAGAUGUGUGACGAGUCUCCAACUUUGGUGGCCCAACAAAAAACUGCUUCAUGACUGAAGCCUAAAUCCACCGUACCAUCUUUGGGAAGCUAAAACCUUAUGGUUCCUGGCACAAAGGGUCAUCAAAUGGCCAAGGAUGCCAUUGCUGGAAUGAUAUAGCAAUAAGCUACAUGGAGAGUACCAUGAACUGGAUCGAAAUAGUUAACUGAUUAACUUGGAAUUUUUUUUCCAAUGAUGGCUCAGAUUAUUUAACCUGCAUCUUCUAUUUACCAAGUUGUGUGUAGUAGCCAAGGUUAUCCAGGAUGCCUGGAUAAUAAUUUUUAAACUUAAAUUGUUUUAAGAUGAUAUAGUAUCAGUGGCUAUAUUAGUCUUAGAACCUAAAAAAGACGCACACUUUUUUUCUCAAGAGUGGCAUCUGUUUUGUUCCACAUAGAGAUGUUCUAAUACAUGUGUAAUCUAAUUCUUGGUUCGCUCUUCAAGGUUAGUUUUAUAAGAGUCUUUGCUCAACUGCGGAGAAAGAUGUAUUUCCAUUAUGGUCUUGUUAUUUGUUUGGUUAACUGAAAUCUUGUUUCUUCUCAACGAAAAAAGCGCCUCACUCAAUUUUUUCAACAAAGAGGUUUUGUUAAUGCAUCAAGUGGAGCCUCACAAUGUAUGUGCUUAAGUUUUUCUAGGAAGUAUCGACGAGUACACUCUCUACUAUUGUGCGUAUGGAAUAAUUAACAUCUAAUCAUCACGUCACGCAAAACCACCUCAAUGUGAGUAGACAGAUAAAGCAAAUUGUGAUUCGAAUUUAGGGGUGUCCUCUAAGUGGUAUAUAAUUGACUUCACGGUCAAAAUUAAACUCCUGUGAUACUUGUUUUAGUGGCAGCUCGCACUAUAGUUAAUGGUGGUAAUAUACACUUAUUUGAAAACAUGGUUUACAUACAAAAGGAGUUAACAUGCCAUUAAGUAAUUAUUGACAAAGCUAGAGAUGUCACAUUUUGAAGAGACCGACUUCACUUGAUUUAUGUAUCUCUGACACCCUCUAUUCAAUUGUAAUAAAGCAAUAUUUCUCAUGAUACCUACCAAGCCUCAAGGUCCUUGAACUGAUAUAGUGGUGCCUUAUUGAACUGCACUAGGACUUAUUCUCAAAGUGUGUAUACAUUUGUUGGCUUGUAUAUUUAUAAAUGUGAGUGAAUGGAUCAGAUUGCACCUAUACUCAAUGUUCAUGAUACGAUCAUGAUAAUUGAUGAACAUCAUGAUCUGUGUACAUGCAUGCAUUUCAAUGCUUGGUUGGUCUUGUGUUUUAUACCCAGUGAUAUACUAGUGUGUCUAUUUAACAUGAAAGAAAAUGAGAGAACUAGUUAUAUACUUGUGUUUCAUAUGCUACUCUGUAUUUAAUACUCCCUCUGUUCCAUAAUUAUUGUCGUGGCUUUGGUUCAAAUUAUGGAACGGAGGGAGUACCCAGUGAUAUACUAGACGUCCAUUUGAUGGGAAAAUAAGAGAAAUUUCAGACUUCAGACAGAGACAUAUGCAUACAUCCAAAACUUAUUUACACAUUGAUCUAACAUUAUGGUCAGAUUACGACACACACAUGUUUCUAGGACUUAAUUAUACAUCGGUCUAACAUUGUUAUCAGAUAUUCAUAAUGAAAUCUAUGGAGAUUGGCUUAAGCGUCUUAACCUCGAUGUGAGGGGACGCGGGAUAGCGCACACUGUUGAGGAUGUUGAGAUUACAAUCUUGGAGAGAAAGAAAGUAGAGGUAAGGCUAGAUAUGGUUACAGAAGAUAGAGAUAAGAUCACGCGCCUAACUACCUAGUCUAGAUGCGCACACACAUGUAAUAUACUAUCUACGUUACAAUGUGUUCAACAAAAUCAUGUCAAUCAGCCUUCUCUCCCUGUUAUGAAUAAGACUAUAUGAAUGCCAUGGAUUACGCAAGGACGUACUUAAUGAAGCUUGUGUCAAUCAGCCUUAUCUCUACUUACUUUCUCUCCAGGAUUCCUUAUCUCUACUUAAUCAAGCUUAUGUUAAUAUCACUUACCUUAGCAGUCUGUGUCAAUCCCAUAUUUAUUUUCCAUUAGCCAAUUAUAUGGAAAUCAAUUUUCACCCACAUAUAGAUAAUCAGAGUAGGUUGUUUAAUUUCUCAUGAAUAUUACACGUCCAUGCUAGCUCAUAUAUUCGCCAAGCGAGAUUCAGAAGAUAGCAGCAGGUAACUAGACACUGUUUAUCCCUUUCUCCAAUAUUAUUAGUUCUCUGUAAUGCAAAGAUGGUUAAGGGUAAUGCUACAACAUUCACACGCAUGAUGUGUCAGCCGCUGGAGCUCUUGGAGGAGUCGUUGUUACCGGUGCGGUGUUGCAUGGGCCGCGAUAAGAACUGAAAGUAGGCAACAUCUUCGAUGAUGCAGUUGCGCGACUAUUCACACAUGACACAUGAGGAAGACUCAGAUCGGUGCUGACAUGGUCCAGGCACGAACAUAAAAACCCGUCCUCUCUGUGUCCACAUUUAUUUAGUCACACUGCCGUUUGGACAAAGGUACAAAGGUUCAGGAAAUCCGAAUCUCUUGUAAAUUUUGUUGCUUCCCUUCAGUGUGCUAGAAAUAAUAAAUGUUGCAUUUUUGUUCAUGAUGGCCUCUAGUUUUGAGGUCUGACAUUUGAUAUGUCAUGUCUUUGUGGAAAAUGGCUGAUUUCUUGAAACUCAGCAGGCAUGAUUCGGUCUGAAGUUCUCAACAAAGAGAAUCAUAAGGUCAGGUCUUGAUGCUUCACAAGGCUGAAAUUGAGUUGGGAGGUUCAUUGCAGAGAUAUGUUGUAAGCCUGUUAAAUUGAGGUUAUCUUAGCAACUCUAAAAGUUCUGGUUCACACAAAUUGAUGAUAACGUUUGCAUACUUAGCUUGUAGUGUUGAUUUGUGUGCCUUAUUUGACCGAGGAUCAGUUUGUAGCGGCUUCAAAGCGUGAGGAACUCAUUUCUUAGCUGAAUGUUAUGCAUCCUUCAUGUACCACCAUGCAGAAUAUUUGAUAUGUGGCACUGGCCUCUUAUAGUUCUUGUAAGAGGUUGGUUUAGUAAAUACUCCCUCCGUUUUUAUUUACUCCGGAUAUUAGAGUUGACUGAAGUCAAACUUUGUAAAGUUUGACCAAAUUUAUACGAAAAGAAUAUAAAUAUUUAGCAUAACAAAUCUCUAUGAUGUGGAAGAACAUUCAACAAUGAAUCUAAUGGUAUUGAUUUGUUAUUGUAUAUGUUAAAAUUUUUGUCUAUAAACUUUGUCCAAAACUAAUAUGCGGAGUAAAUAAAAACAGAGGGAGUAUACACUUGUGUUAUGUGGACCCGUCCUGUACUGAAAUUGUAUUCAUGGGCGAAAGAAAUGCACAUACAUUGAACUUUUCUAUAUCACAUUUGAAUGUUAUAGUAAUAUACAAUUUUCCAUUGCUGAUGUUUCUCUGGUCCAGGUCGCUCCGAGUGCCAGAUUUCUAGGUAGAAAGACUUUUUUUUAUUGCAAGAGUCUAGGUAGAAAGACUGACUGAAGUAGUGAAAGGCUGAUUCAUUGUGGUGACUAGCUUCUGUAAUCCCCGGCUUUUAUCUUGUUUCUGGUUGUUGGUGGUCAACUCAUACUGUCUCAGGCCUCAACUCUGAAGCAGAGUCGAAGAGCAGAGGAGAUAGCCGAGAACCUCUUCACUAAGCUAUGACAAAAGUGUCCGCGACCAACUAGUCGAACACUUGGAGGCCAACAGAUUUGUAGCAUUCAUCAUUUGACCUGUAAUGUGCAAAUAGCCUAACUAAAUUUUGGCCGUCGUUGCAACAAAGCAAUGUUUGUCCUGAUACCUCUCAAGCCUAAAGGUUCUUNNNNNNNNNNNNNNNNNNNNNNNNNNNNNNNNNNNNNNNNNNNNNNNNNNNNNNNNNNNNNNNNNNNNNNNNNNNNNNNNNNNNNNNNNNNNNNNNNNNNNNNNNNNNNNNNNNNNNNNNNNNNNNNNNNNNNNNNNNNNNNNNNNNNNNNNNNNNNNNNNNNNNNNNNNNNNNNNNNNNNNNNNNNNNNNNNNNNNNNNNNNNNNNNNNNNNNNNNNNNNNNNNNNNNNNNNNNNNNNNNNNNNNNNNNNNNNNNNNNNNNNNNNNNNNNNNNNNNNNNNNNNNNNNNNNNNNNNNNNNNNNNNNNNNNNNNNNNNNNNNNNNNNNNNNNNNNNNNNNNNNNNNNNNNNNNNNNNNNNNNNNNNNNNNNNNCAUGUGUGAAUGACUGGAGCAAAUCGCACUGCUUGGUUGGCCUUUUAUGUUGCUCCAUAUUUAAUACCAAGUGAUAUACUAGAAUUACAGAUGUACCCCGUCCGUCCCAUAUUAACUGUGGCUCAAACGGCUGAUACAUCCAGUAUGUAACAUUGUUAUCAGCCUUAUCUCUACACUAUGAACAAGACUACAUAAAUGACAUGGACCACACAAAGAAGUGCUCAAGCAUACAAUACAUCAACUACUUACCAUAGCAGACUGUCAAUCACAUAUGCAAUUGCCAUUAGCCAACUAUGGGUGAAUCAAUUCUCACCCACAUAUAGUAGUCAGAUUCUGUUACUUAAUUUCCCAUGCAUUCACACAUUCAUUUUAGCUCAUAUAUUCUGGCUAAACCAGAUUAAGAGGAUAGUAGCAUGUUAUUAUAAUCAGAUUACACAAGAAUCAAUGAUGUCUUGAAUCCACAUUAUUGAUCAGCAUCAUCUCCAGAAUAUAUACAUGGUUGCAUCCAUGAUAGAUAUAACCAGGAUCAGAAAUUAAGAUCCACAAAAGUUGGAUAGUUUGUAACCUCCGGCUCGGAUCACCUUAAGCCUAGUACCUGCAACACAAGAAAUCAGCCAACAAGCAAAAACCAAUUAAUUCAUCGGUUAACCAACCUAUGAUUUAUUCCAAUUAAGAGAUAAUUCAAUUGCCCAAGAGAAACAUUUCAUUAUCUUGUUAUUACCUCCUUUUUCCCAUGCUUGCCUCCUGUUUUGGUUUAGAACCACUGUCGAAGAAGGUCACCACCUUUGCUGCAGCCAAUCAUUUUAUCCAAGCGGGUCUUCAAACUAAUAUUGAUUUCAUAUUGAGCCCCCGAUACACGAAGCCGUUUCAACCAAAAGAACUUCCUGGCCAAUUCACGUGUCUCUGCCUUUUUAACCACAAAUACCUUAUUCACAUAUGUCGAGAACUGCUCGCUGGAUUUCUUAUCAAUAUGAGGUGAUCGUAACACAGUGCAUAAGGCUCGUGAUUCAGGCAACCCAAUCUUGUGUGUGUAAGGCUCAAGCCCCUUCAAAUUGUUCUUUUUGGGGUUACUGAAAGAUUUCAUUACCAUGCAUAUCUUGGCAGGCAAGUUCUGGGAGUGCAUCCUCCUUGGGUAUAUAUCUUCCUUGGUCUCCUCAAUAGGCUUGUGAAGCUACAAUGAUGAACAAACUUGAUAUUAUUAAUCACAAGAAAAGAAGUAUCAAACGAGUUAUCUACUUUUCUUCUCAGUAAUAAGACUUCUAGCCUUUUUCUAAUACUAUUUCACUUGGCGAGAUAUAUGUAGUGAGUUAAUCCACUACCAGAAGCCAUGAGAAAAUCUAGAAUCUUUGAAAAAUUAAGUCUAAAUACAACCUGUGGAGGAGUAAGACAAAUAUCAUCAGGGAUUAUCCUGAAAAUCCUGUCAGAACUCACUUUUCCCUCACUCAUAACAGAGGCUGUGUUUAAACUUCGAUUUUAAUCACAGACGGAACAAGUCCAGAGUUAUAUGUCGUACAUUUGUUUUGGAAGUUUUUGUAAUUUUUGGUAGCGGAUUGCAUGAAGAUUGCACCCAAUCGUCUCCAUGUUGCUACAAUGAUUGAUCAUACUAAUUUAAUUUGCAAAACGUCUGUAUGAGCUAUGUUGUUUAAAAAGUUCCCACAAAUGAAAAUUGUUAUCAGGUGCUAAUGGCCCAUGUGGUUUCAAUGAACUUUUUCAUGCUUUUUUUGGGUGAAUUAUAAAAAUGACUAAAUAUCAGGAAGCAUGUGUGUGUAGCAUCAUAAGAGCAUCUCCAGUCGCGUCCCCAAAGGCCCUUUUUUCGCCGGCUCGGAGCGAAAUUGGCGCCGGCGGACCCAGGCCGAACCCGGUGCGCUGGGAGGUGCUUGGGGGCGCCGGCCGAAUCGUUUUUUGCGCGAAAAUCGGCGGGCCCUACUUGGCAGCGACUCAGCUCUUUUCGUCGCUUCGUCGUCCUCAUCGCCUCGGUUCCCGCGGCGGAGUCAAUGCCAAAGCUGCCGCGCGCUGCCGUGUCGGUCAGCCUCCUCCAUUGAUGCCUAACGGGCGGCGCAGUGAAGACGGGACGACGCACGUCCCUCGCCCCCCACGCGUACACACAGCGGCCACGCGAGCGCCGCCUAUCUAAGCCGACCCCUCCCGCACCGGUGACGCACAGACUCUCCACCGCCGACGCCCCUGUUCCUCGACGCCCCCGUUCAUCCCUCUCUUCUCGCCGUUUCUAGUUCACCCAAUGGCCGAGCGCUUUCCAGGCAACAGCACGGCGGCGAACGGCUUCGGCCGCCGCCCCCUUCACGAGGACGAAGCUCGGCUUCUCUAUGAGGCCAAUUACCCGGUCCCGCCGGACAUGCUGGUGCCCGGGGCAUGAAGGAUCAGCGCCGGGGGGGUCCCGGUGCCACCGCCGCCCACCGGGGCGGUGCGUCGUGCGGAGAUCGCCCAUAUCCGUGCCUCUCUGUCGUAGACAGCGAGGGAAGGGCCGAGGUACGUCCCCGACAGCCCGAUGUGGGAGCAGUACUUCCGUCGCCGCCACACCGAGCAGCUCAAGGCCACCAACGGCGUCGUGCCCUCCGGAAGGCUCAACUCCGACGGCCGCCGCCGAUGGUGGGGCGAGCCCGGCCGCACGCUGAAGGCCGUCCUCAAGUACAUCGAGGGCGGCAACACGCCCAGGCUGGAGUACCCCGCUCCCCCUCCUUCCGCCGGCGUGGGAGCUCGUGGACGCCGAGACGCAUGGACCCGGGGUCCUCCUCCUCGUCCGACCGCUCGUCCGGCUCUCCCUCCCUCCUUCCCGUCAAGCCGGAGCCCCAGGACGUGCCGAUCAGCCAGUGCACCCGCAGCUCCGGCGUCCGCAUCACCGAGCCCUCCCCCACCUCUACCCGGCUCGUCAGGCCGGAGGUGGAGCCCGGCCUCCCCGCGAAGUACGAGGCCAUAGUCCGGCGCGGCUUCUCCGACAAGGACGCCCUAAAGUGGGUGCGGGACGACUACCUCCGUGACGAGAUGGUCCGGCAGCGCCGAGCCCUGGAGGAGAUAGCCGCCCGCCAGCGUGGGCGCGAGGACGAGAACGGCGUGGUGAUCCUCGACAGCGAUGAGUACGAGGAUGCCCCCGGUUUGUCCAACCCGCCGUGCGUCGGCGACCCUGGGCAGGGGAGCAGCAGGGACGACGGCCGCGGAGGAGGCGACGACGAGGACGAGGACGCGGCGGCUACACGAAGUUCUACAGGCUCCUCGGCAUGUAGAGCUUCAAGGGCGCCGGGCGGCGAGGGCGACGGCAGGUCUAGUAGAGUUUUUUUUCUUCUUUUGUAAAAUAUUUUAAAUAUGUUAUGAACUCGCCGAAGUUUGGUUGAAUUUGUGUCUUGUUUAUGCCAGAUUUUGUUUAAAAAACGUGGGCGCGGCGACUGAGGAGCAUCACGCCCCCAGCACGCGGUUAGCGCCGGCAUGUCCCCGGACGGCGAUUUUUAGCGCCUCCUGAGGCCAACGGUUGGAGAUGCUCUAAGGCGCACAAGUGCAGAUCUCCACCAAAACAAACUGCCAUCCAUUUUGUCACAUUUCACACGCUAGAGUAUCAAGAACAGAGCCGCACAGAGCAAAAAAUACAGACGAAUAACGAUAGUCGCAUCAAGAACAAACACGAGGAGGGUGGGAUCCGAGAGGUAAUCCAAGCCUACUUCCUCCUCCAUAGCUCCUACACGAACCUGUAGGCGCCUGCGAACCACGAAUCCGUCAAAAACCGGCAAGAUGGCGGGGGACAGGGAGAGGAGCUGAUAGAAGGAGGCGCUCACCCAUGGCGGCGGCCGUCGGAUGGGCUAGGGCUCUGGAAUGGUUGGUUGGGCGUCUGCGGGUGGGUCAGUCGUGCUCUCGUGGGCCGGGAAGCUGGCUUUUCAAUGUCAAAUUGGCGUGGACAAAAAUGUUCUUUCAUUUGUUCGUUUUCUUUGUCUAAAAAACAUGUUUGUUUUCUCUCCCCUAUAAAAAACUUGUUUGUUUUCUCUGCUAUUAAUCCGGUGCAUUCGGUCAAAUUGGCAAAUUGCUAAUAGAACGGUCUCUUCCCUAAAAAAACUCAAUGGAAUCUGAUUUGAACUCAAAAUUGUUUUCUUCAAAAAAGGAGGAUAACCCCAGUAUUUGCAUCAAUCGAUGUAGAACAUCUUUAUUAUUAUUCAACAAAGUCUGGCAACAUAAAUAUAUGGAUCAAUCCGAAGCCACCUAUCUGACAAACAAAGUCGAACACCUACAAUCUUAAUAAUGUGCCCGAACCGCAUUAAUGCGCACUAUCUAAUCUGGUGGUCUCAUGCAGCUACUCGACGUCAGGCAGAGAGCACACUACCCAUUCUGGCCGAUCCGCAUCAUGCGCAUGCUCUGGAUCCGCCGCCGCCAUCUUCCACCUUCACAUCUGCAGGAGUGAUCAACCUAUUGACCUUGUCCGGCCCAACCGCCACCGGCCAGCCACAACGUCAGAUAACGCCACCAGCCUACGCGUGUCCAUCAACCUGAGUCCAAUGCCAAGACUCCACUAUGCCAGGCCGUCGAGACCCGUCGUCUUCGAUGCGGUAGAUACAACACUGUUCCACCUAUUGGCCCCUUUAGUUAGUACCUACUCCAAAAUAAUGCCCCCAAGAAAGAGAACAACACUAAAGUCCCCGUCAUCAGUCGAUCGGGGACACCCAGAUCUAGGGUUUCCGCUGAAGCAGAUGCCGCUAGAGGGAGAAGGGCGCGCCAUCAGCAGCUGCAAACGAGACCACAUGGUGCCCACCACCACAAUGCUCUGACGAUGACACCUUCAAGAAAGACACGACGCACAGAGUGUUGUCGCCGCCCACCACAGUUAUGGUUUUCAAACGAGUAGCGGUGAGGUGGGAAGAGGUAGGGGCGUAGGGCAGACCCGACCGACCGACGUCUCCAAGAAGAAAACCGGCUCCCUCGGGCGCUGGCGCCGUCGCGGCCGGCCGUAGCCGACCAUAGGACAAGUCUCGAAGCACUUUUUUUCACCUCCACUAAACGGACCCAGGUUUUUUCACACAAUAUUUUAAAACUGAAACAUUUUUUGGUAUUCCAAAAAAUAUUUCAAAAAUUUUAAGCAGGUUUCUAAAAGGAAGAUAAAGUUAAAAAAGGAGAAAAAUAAGUUAACUAAAAAAAACUC